rnacentral:rRNA from 1 species
AUUGAACGCUGGCGGCAGGCCUAACACAUGCAAGUCGAGCGGAUGAAGGGAGCUUGCUCCUGGAUUCAGCGGCGGACGGGUGAGUAAUGCCUAGGAAUCUGCCUGGUAGUGGGGGAUAACGUCCGGAAACGGGCGCUAAUACCGCAUACGUCCUGAGGGAGAAAGUGGGGGAUCUUCGGACCUCACGCUAUCAGAUGAGCCUAGGUCGGAUUAGCUAGUUGGUGGGGUAAAGGCCUACCAAGGCGACGAUCCGUAACUGGUCUGAGAGGAUGAUCAGUCACACUGGAACUGAGACACGGUCCAGACUCCUACGGGAGGCAGCAGUGGGGAAUAUUGGAUAAUGGGCGAAAGCCUGAUCCAGCCAUGCCGCGUGUGUGAAGAAGGUCUUCGGAUUGUAAAGCACUUUAAGUUGGGAGGAAGGGCAGUAAGUUAGUACCUUGCUGUUUUGACGUUACCAACAGAAUAAGCACCGGCUAACUUCGUG